AAUAUAUAGGUAAUGUGCCCUAGAGAGGGGGAUAACAUUUGGAAACGAAUGCUAAGACCCCAUAUGCCUUUAAGACAAAAGUCUGCAAGGGAAAUAUUAAUAGCUCUAGGAUCGGCCUGUACGGUAUCAGCUAGUUGGUGAGGUAAUGGCUCACCAAGGCAAUGACGCCUAACUGGUUUGAGAGGAUGAUCAGUCACACUGGAACUGAGACACGGUCCAGACUCCUACGGGAGGCAGCAGUGGGGAAUAUUGCACAAUGGGGGAAACCCUGAUGCAGCAACGCCGCGUGGAGGAUGACACAUUUCGGUGCGUAAACUCCUUUUAUAUAGGAAGAUAAUGACGGUACUAUAUGAAUAAGCGCCGGCUAACUCCGUGCCAGCAGCCGCGGUAAUACGGAGGGCGCAAGCGUUACUCGGAAUCACUGGGCGUAAAGAGCGUGUAGGCGGGUUGAUAAGUUUGAAGUGAAAUCCAAUGGCUCAACCAUUGAACUGCUUUGAAAACUGUUAACUUAGAAUAUGAGAGAGGUAGAUGGAAUUUCUGGUGUAGGGGUAAAAUCCGUAGAGAUCAGAAGGAAUACCGAUU
rnacentral:rRNA from 1 species